rnacentral:rRNA from 1 species
GAUGAACGCUGGCGGCGUGCCUAAUACAUGCAAGUCGAGCGAACAGACGAGGAGCUUGCUCCUCUGACGUUAGCGGCGGACGGGUGAGUAACACGUGGAUAACCUUCCUAUAAGACUGGGAUAACUUCGGGAAACCGGAGCUAAUACCGGAUAAUAUAUUGAACCGCAUGGUUCAAUAGUGAAAGACGGUUUUGCUGUCACUUAUAGAUGGAUCCGCGCCGCAUUAGCUAGUUGGUAAGGUAACGGCUUACCAAGGCGACGAUGCGUAGCCGACCUGAGAGGGUGAUCGGCCACACUGGAACUGAGACACGGUCCAGACUCCUACGGGAGGCAGCAGUAGGGAAUCUUCCGCAAUGGGCGAAAGCCUGACGGAGCAACGCCGCGUGAGUGAUGAAGGUCUUCGGAUCGUAAAACUCUGUUAUUAGGGAAGAACAAAUGUGUAAGUAACUAUGCACGUCUUGACGGUACCUAAGCAGAAAGCCACGGCUAACUACGU